rnacentral:lncRNA from 1 species
AUGAACAAUAUCAUACCAAACAUCUCAGCAAAAGUUGACAUUCCCAAAGUGAAAAACUUUGUCGAUGAAAAAAAUACUCUGAACAAUAGUUUAUCUGCUGUAAGCUUAGCCAGAAAUAAAUCUACCGAUCCAGGAAUCGAUGAAUCUAAAUUAGAAAAUUUUAUUGAUACUCUGUCGGAUGAGGAACUGAUAGGACCAAUCAAGGAUCUAGUCAUCAAGAAUUCUAUGGAGGCAGAUUUGAAACGACCACCAGUUUCGAUAGGUUGUUCACCAACAUCGGCAUUCGCCAAGUAUUCUCCCUCUCCCCCUCACAUCAAUGAAACCACUGCAAAAUCCACCCCUAACCUUCCCCUGAACGUGCCUCUUGAUGAGGUAGCAAACUUUUCCAAUUUUAACAAAAGCGAAAGGAAUGUGGAAAAAUACCCGCAUGUCAACAUGAGCAGUAUUAGUUUGUGCUCUACGGUCAGUAUUGAUUCCAACAUAGAUUUUAAUAGAAACAAGCGAGGAUCCAAUGACAGUUCCUUUGCACAGGAAAUGAAUUCUAAGUUAAUGAAAAAUUCUGAAACGCACAAAGAAGGUAGGAACAUUGCUCGAACUUUACUCAAUAUGGAACAGAUGCUGUUCGGGGUCUCGCCUAACCCCAACAGUAAAAAUUCAAAAAGUGGCAAUAAGAAUAGUAACAGAGAAGCAAAUAAAAACUUAACCAGUCAGGAAAGUGGUGAGAUUCCCUCCAAAGUAGAUAAAUCUACACCUAAUUUCAAUCAGUUGUACCCCAAAUUGAAUCUAAAUAGUGCGGACGCUGCAGAAUUAGAACUCAUAGAAUCCAUUUCUGAAUUAGAGAACCUAUAUCUUUUUUCCCCCAUCAGCCAAGAUCCAUCCCUCUCCUUGAACUCUUCCCUCUCCAAAACUGACUCCAAUUCCAUGACAGCUGGUAGCGGGGAAGGUCUACGGAAAGAGAAAAAAGAAUCUCAGACCUUAUCUGCUUCGCAAGGAAGGAAGCCUAAUUCAGAUUCAGCAUAUAGCAGUUUGAGCAGAAAAUCACCAUUGACCAGAACUCUAGCAACACAUCAAGUAGAUUUAGCUGAAAUAAAAAGCCCUAGCAGCUUAAGCUCUAGUGGGUCAGAAUCCUCUGUUGCUCAUGCCUGUCGUACAGAGCGUCGCCUGUCAACGUUUUGCCAUGAAUGCGGUGCUAAGUAUCCAGUUUCCAUUGCAAAAUUCUGUUGUGAAUGUGGAGUAAGAAGGUUAGCACUGUCCUAA